AGAGUUUGAUCCUGGCUCAGGAUGAACGCUGGCGGCGUGCCUAACACAUUCAAGUCGAACGGUGACGGGACUUCGGUCCCUGAUCAGUGGCGGACGGGUGAGUAACGCGUGAGCAACCUGCCUUUGCUUGGGGGAUAACAACUGGAAACGGUUGCUAAUACCGCAUAAUGUAGCGAUUUCGCAUGUUAUUGCUACCAAAGAUUUAUUGAGCAAAGAUGGGCUCGCGUCUGAUUAGAUAGUUGGUGAGGUAACGGCUCACCAAGUCGACGAUCAGUAGCCGGACUGAGAGGUUGAACGGCCACAUUGGAACUGAGAUACGGUCCAGACUCCUACGGGAGGCAGCAGUGGGGAAUAUUGGGCAAUGGGCGAAAGCCUGACCCAGCGACGCCGCGUGAAGGAAGAAGGCCCUCGGGUUGUAAACUUCAGUCAACAGGGAAGAAACAAAUGACGGUACCUGUGGAGGAAGCCACGGCUAACUACGUGCCAGCAGCCGCGGUAAUACGUAGGUGGCAAGCGUUAUCCGGAUUUACUGGGUGUAAAGGGUGUGUAGGCGGGAUGGCAAGUCAGAUGUGAAAACUAUGGGCUCAACUCAUAGCUUGCAUUUGAAACUGUCGUUCUUGAGUGUCGGAGAGGUAGAUGGAAUUCCGUGUGUAGCGGUGAAAUGCGUAGAUAUACGGAGGAACACCAGUGGCUAAGGCGGUCUACUGGACGAUUACUGACGCUGAGACACGAAAGUGUGGGGAGCAAACAGGAUUAGAUACCCUGGUAGUCCACACUGUAAACGAUGAAUGCUAGGUGUAGGGGCGAUUACGCUUCUGUGCCGCAGUUAACACAAUAAGCAUUCCACCUGGGGAGUACGGCCGCAAGGUUGAAACUCAAAGGAAUUGACGGGAGCCCGCACAAGCAGUGGAGUAUGUGGUUUAAUUCGACGCAACGCGAAGAACCUUACCGAAGCUUGACAUCCCAGGAAGUCUGCUGUAAUGGCGGAUGUGCCCUUCGGGGAACCUGGUGACAGGUGGUGCAUGGUUGUCGUCAGCUCGUGUCGUGAGAUGUUGGGUUAAGUCCCGCAACGAGCGCAACCCUUACGGUUAAUUACUACGCAAGAGUACCUUAACCGGACUGCCGUUGACAAAACGGAGGAAGGUGGGGACGACGUCAAAUCAUCAUGCCCCUUACGCUUCGGGCUACACACGUACUACAAUGGCGAGAACAAAGGGAAGCGAUCCCGCGAGGGUGAGCAAAUCCCAUAAAAAUCGUCCCAGUUCGGACUGCAGGCUGCAACUCGCCUGCACGAAGUUGGAAUUGCUAGUAAUCGCGAAUCAGCAUGUCGCGGUGAAUACGUUCCCGGGCUUUGUACACACCGCCCGUCAAACCAUGAAAGUUGGUAAUACCCGAAGUCAGUGAGCUAACCGCAAGGAGGCAGCUGCCGAAGGUAGGACCAGUGAUUGGGGUUAAGUCGUAACAAGGUAGCCGUAUCGGAAGGUGCGGCUGGAUCACCUCCUU
rnacentral:rRNA from 1 species